rnacentral:rRNA from 1 species
UACCUGCAGCUCUAGUGGUGACCGCUAUUAUUGGGCCUAAAACGUCCGUAGCCUGCUUAUUAAAUGCCUGGGUAAAUCGUAUGGCUCAACCAUACGAAUUCCGGGUAGACUGAUAGGCUUGGGACCGGGAGAAGCUAGAGGUACUCAUAGGGUAGAGGUGAAAUUCUGUAAUCCUAGGGGGACCACCAGUGGCGAAGGCGUCUAGCUAGAACGGGUUUGACGGUGAGGGACGAAGCCCUGGGGAGCAAACGGGAUUAGAUACCCGCGUA